AGAGUUUGAUCCUGGCUCAGGACGAACGCUGGCGGCGCGCCUAACACAUGCAAGUCGAACGAGCGAGAGAGAGCUUGCUUUCUCAAGCGAGUGGCGAACGGGUGAGUAACGCGUGAGGAACCUGCCUCAAAGAGGGGGACAACAGUUGGAAACGACUGCUAAUACCGCAUAAGCCCACAGCUCGGCAUCGAGCAGAGGGAAAAGGAGCAAUCCGCUUUGAGAUGGCCUCGCGUCCGAUUAGCUAGUUGGUGAGGUAAUGGCCCACCAAGGCGACGAUCGGUAGCCGGACUGAGAGGUUGAACGGCCACAUUGGGACUGAGACACGGCCCAGACUCCUACGGGAGGCAGCAGUGGGGAAUAUUGCACAAUGGGGGAAACCCUGAUGCAGCGACGCCGCGUGGAGGAAGAAGGUCUUCGGAUUGUAAACUCCUGUUGUUGAGGAAGAUAAUGACGGUACUCAACAAGGAAGUGACGGCUAACUACGUGCCAGCAGCCGCGGUAAAACGUAGGUCACAAGCGUUGUCCGGAAUUACUGGGUGUAAAGGGAGCGCAGGCGGGAAGACAAGUUGGAAGUGAAAUCUAUGGGCUCAACCCAUAAACUGCUUUCAAAACUGUUUUCCUUGAGUAGUGCAGAGGUAGGCGGAAUUCCCGGUGUAGCGGUGGAAUGCGUAGAUAUCGGGAGGAACACCAGUGGCGAAGGCGGCCUACUGGGCACCAACUGACGCUGAGGCUCGAAAGUGUGGGUAGCAAACAGGAUUAGAUACCCUGGUAGUCCACACCGUAAACGAUGAUUACUAGGUGUUGGAGGAUUGACCCCUUCAGUGCCGCAGUUAACACAAUAAGUAAUCCACCUGGGGAGUACGACCGCAAGGUUGAAACUCAAAGGAAUUGACGGGGGCCCGCACAAGCAGUGGAGUAUGUGGUUUAAUUCGACGCAACGCGAAGAACCUUACCAAGUCUUGACAUCCUGCGACGCACAUAGAAAUAUGUGUUUCCUUCGGGACGCAGAGACAGGUGGUGCAUGGUUGUCGUCAGCUCGUGUCGUGAGAUGUUGGGUUAAGUCCCGCAACGAGCGCAACCCUUACUGUCAGUUACUACGCAAGAGGACUCUGGCAGGACUGCCGUUGACAAAACGGAGGAAGGUGGGGAUGACGUCAAAUCAUCAUGCCCUUUAUGACUUGGGCUACACACGUACUACAAUGGCGUUAAACAAAGAGAAGCAAGACCGCGAGGUGGAGCAAAACUCAGAAACAACGUCCCAGUUCGGACUGCAGGCUGCAACUCGCCUGCACGAAGUCGGAAUUGCUAGUAAUCGUGGAUCAGCAUGCCACGGUGAAUACGUUCCCGGGCCUUGUACACACCGCCCGUC
rnacentral:rRNA from 1 species